UGAGGAAUAUUGCGCAAUGGGCGAAAGCCUGACGCAGCGACGCCGCGUGGGGGAUGAAGGUCUUCGGAUUGUAAACCCCUUUCGGGAGGGAAGAUGGGACGGGCAACCGUUCGGACGGUACCUCCAGAAGCAGCCACGGCUAACUUCGUGCCAGCAGCCGCGGUAAUACGAAGGUGGCAAGCGUUGUUCGGAUUUACUGGGCGUACAGGGAGCGUAGGCGGUUUGGUAAGCCCUCCGGGAAAUCUUCGGGCUUAACCCGGAAAGGUCGGAGGGGACUGCCAGGCUAGAGGACGGGAGAGGGGCGCGGAAUUCCCGGUGUAGCGGUGAAAUGCGUAGAGAUCGGGAGGAAGGCCGGUGGCGAAGGCGGCGCUCUGGAACGUUCCUGACGCUGAGGCUCGAAAGCGUGGGGAGCAAACAGG
rnacentral:rRNA from 1 species